UAACAAUGCCAAAAGUUUAUUAUUUCUGUGGAAAUUGCUUUCUGUCUGGUUUUAAGAUAUGGAAAUAAGCUGAACACUGUUAAGUGGACACAUGUUUGGAAUUGCUUUUCUGACAUGGGCAUCCAGGACAUUCUAACUGUUAUGGACUUACUGCGUACACUCCCUGCCACUUCUGUUGUCAAUGAGGCCUCCUUCAACCAGAUGAAAAUGACCAAGACAAACAGGAGACAGCGUUUGAGUAACAAGCACCUUGAUGAUUGCAUGGUUAUUCAGCUGGAGUCGACUGAUAUUUUGAACUUUGAUCCAACAGAAGCAAUUAAUAAAUGGAUGACAUCAAGUAAGCAGCCAAGAUGAUUGACCUACGCUAGAUCUACUUGCAACAAGAACAGCGAACAACAAGACGAAGACAUUAUGAUUCAGGAAGUGACACAGGAUGAGGAACCUAGGAAUACAACAGUUGCUGAAUCGGACCCUGAGACUGCAGAUGACUGUGACUACGAGACGGACUGUGACUCUGACAACGAACAGACAGAAGACUUUAAUGACAGAGCAAUUGAACAAACUGUGCAUGAAAUGGAAAUAGAAAUAAAUUAUUAGUCCGAUCUA